GAUACCCUGCCGUGCGCGUGAUGCCGCACUACCGGUUCUGAGCCAACAAUUUUUUCUCGGGUCUCAAUCUUCAAAUUGUGACGCGAUAGGCUAGAGCCAAGGCGAAGCUCUUGAGGCGAGACCCAACCUGCGAAGGCAGGUUCAGAACUUGGCAGCACACGGCUCGGUGGGGUUCAG
rnacentral:other from 1 species